GGCCUACCAUGGUGGUAACGGGUAACGGGGUGUUAGGGCACGACACCGGAGAGGGAGCCUGAGAAACGGCUACCACAUCCAAGGAUGGCAGCAGGCGCGCAAAUUACCCAAUCCCGACACGGGGAGGUAGUGACAAUAAAUAACAAUACGGGGUUCUUUCGGAUCUCGUAAUUGGAAUGAGUACAAUUUAAAUCUCUUAACGAGGAACAAUUGGAGGGCAAGUCUGGUGCCAGCAGCCGCGGUAAUUCCAGCUCCAAUAGCGUAUAUUAAAGUUGUUGCAGUUAAAAAGCUCGUAGUUGAAUUUCGGGGUUAGUAGGUUGGUCAUGCCUCUGGUAUGUACUGGUCUCACUGAUUCCUCCUUCCUGAUGAACCGUAAUGCCAUUAAUUUGGUGUUGCGGGGAAUUUGGACUGUUACUUUGAAAAAAUUAGAGUGUUUAAAGCAAGCUAACGCUUGAAUACAUUAGCAUGGAAUAAUGAAAUAGGACGUUCGAUCCUAUUUUGUUGGUUUCUAGGAUUGACGUAAUGAUUAAUAGGGAUAGUUGGGGGCAUUAGUAUUCAAUUGUCAGAGGUGAAAUUCUUGGAUUUAUUGAAGACUAACUACUGCGAAAGCAUUUGCCAAGGAUGUUUUCAUUAAUCAAGAACGAAAGUUAGGGGAUCGAAGACGAUCAGAUACCGUCGUAGUCUUAACCAUAAACUAUGCCGACUAGGGAUCGGGAUGAUGUUAAUUUUUUAAUGACUCAUUCGGCGCCUUACG
rnacentral:rRNA from 1 species